rnacentral:lncRNA from 1 species
CAUAGUGCCGGUCAAAAGUUGCAUGAGACGGACCACGAGAACCAGAAUGAGGGUGAAAUUGAUGAGGCUGGCUAGAGAGUACAACUUGAAAGCCAGCUUGUGGGACUUGAAUUCGGCUGGCACCAAAGUUGCUUUGGAGAGGCACAACUGGAGUAUUAGCGGCAAGACCGUUAGGAGGUUUGUACUGGUUUGGGCAGGUGGAGGUGGCAACGACGUUUCGAGGAGGAUUUGGGCAGGAGGAGGUGCUGCUGAUGAUUGAGAGUGUGAGGGAUGGUGUAGGCGACGUGAGGGAGGGGAUUAAAUAGGCGAGUCGUUGCUCUUAGGACCAAACCCUAAGUAGGCGAUUGAGUAUUCCAUCCACCAAACCCUGAUCCUUCCACCAAACCUAGGUGGAGGUGCCGCUGACAUGUUAUUGCUAUUUGAAACCUUGCUCUUAGGACCCAUUUUCUUGUGCUGCUGACAUUCCUUGCUCAUAGGACCCAUUUUCCUUUUGAUCCUUCCACCAAACCCAGGAGGAGGUGCAUUUUGGGUUCCUUAUCUUCAGGUUCGGUUAUUUUCUCACGAAAUUGAUGGGGACAUCGGAGCCUAGUCCACCAUCUUAGUACAUAUUUAUUUCUAGUUCACCAUCUUAGUACAUAUUUAUUUUGUUUUGUUUAUUGGCUUGUUUGCAUUUUAGGGUUCAUUUGUGUAUUUGGGGUUUAUUGGAAAUUAUUCUUGUGUAGGGGGUUUAUUUUAAUUGUUCUUAUGAGGCCCUAUUUAAAGGGAACUUUGAUGGUAAUUA